UAAUCUAUUUAUGAAAGAUCUUUAUCUAGCUAUGGUAGAUCUCUAUAUUACUACUUAUAAAUCUUUAGUUCCUACUAGCUUGACUACAUCAGUCUUCUUGAGUUAGAGAGAGCUUGCCCUUUAAGUUCUGAUC
rfam:Populus trichocarpa scaffold_8_contig_232, whole genome shotgun sequence.